GAGCCGCACGCUUGCCCCCCGCCCCCCACCCCCCCAGGCUCCGAGCUGCUGGGCGCUGGGGCGGAGGUGGGGACCGAGCCGCAGCCGGGAAGCACGGAACGGAGCCGCCUCCACCCUCCCCGGGCCAGGCCGCCAGCGUGGAUACGUGGAUCCGUGGAUACGAGCCGGUGUGAACUAAUUUGAUGGUGCUGAUAAAGGCUGGGCCGCCUGGGGCCCUUGAGCCCCACCCAGCACCUUCCGCCCUCCGGAUAACAUCGGGGCUGAGCUGUCCCGGCUCCCCAUUCUCGGGUGACGAAAUCCCCACCCGGCUCAGUAGGGCUGGCGAGCUCUGCAGUUACCAAAUCGCGGGAAAAACAAACCCACCCGUCUACACCGGGUGCCAGAGGCGGGCUGGCGCGCCCCGACUCGGCGCUGGACUGGCAGGGGGCCGGGCUGGGGCUUGGGGCCCCCAGCAGGUACGUGAGGCCAGAGCCCCAAUCGGAAGGGCCGGUCCCCUCGUGGGGGGCCUGCGGCCCCGGGAUGGAGCAGGGCCCAGCUCACCGGGCGGACCAGGGCCCUGGGCGUGGGCGCCCGGACCGAGGCCGCGGGAUGUGGGGCGGGCGGGGUCAGAGGGGCGCGGGGGGCAGGGGGCAGGGCUCCCCGAUCCGGGCCGGGCAGGUCCUCCGACCGCCGGGCAGCCCCGCCCGGUCCCACGCACCUGACUCGCUCCAGCUAAUUGCCAGCCUGUUUGAUUUUUUUCCCCGUGAAUCUCCCGGAGGGACACGGGCAGGUUCUGAGUCACCAGGAAGCGGCCCCCACUCCCACCCACUCUGGAGCCUGGAGCCCGCCCCCACCCUCCCUCCCCAGGGCCCGGGACACCGGGGCGCUGGGGCCCGCCCAGGGUGACCACGGGGAGCCCCAGAGCCCACUGGGUGGCCUGGGGGUCCCGGGCCCUGCCCAGCACCCUGGGGCGCAGGGCGUGUGACCUCCCCGGGGGCCUAAUGGAGCAGCCUCCUCGCUGCAGCGCAUUUGCAAUUCAUGGCUCCAGCCGAGAUUGCAUUAGGGC
rnacentral:lncRNA from 12 species